rnacentral:rRNA from 1 species
UACAGAGGCCUCGAGCGUUAGGCGGAAUCACUGGGCUUAAAGCGUGUGUAGGUGGAGUUCUAAGUACCUUGUGAAAUCCCACGGCUCAACCGUGGAACUGCUGGGUAUACUGGUUCUCUUGAGGUACCUAGGGGCGAGCGGAACAAGUGGUGGAGCGGUGAAAUGCGUAGAUAUCACUUGGAACGCCAACGGUGAAAACAGCUCGCUGGGGGGUAUCCUGACACUGAGACACGAAAGCCAGGGGAGCAAACGGG